AUUAGAUUAGUUUAUUUUAAAACAUUAGGGUGUGGACCUAAAAAUAACUUUUGUUAUCUAAU
rnacentral:tRNA from 1 species